UAAUAUCUUCAUUCUCAAAGAGAGGCUCUAAGAAGUUAAAUAACCUGUCAACAGUCACAAAGCAACUGUGUGGCAGAAUCAAGAGUGAACUACAUCUAUCAAUCCUUCAUGAAACAGAAGAGUGAGACAUCUCUCGAGUGGCCUGGCGGACUCUUGAGAAGGCCUGGAAUGAGGCGAGUCCUCGGGGGAGCGUAUUAGUGGUCUGUCACACUGCCUUGGCUAUUUGUGGUGAUCGUCCCGCCAGUCCUCCUCCGUCAUGUACGGGGAGCAUGCUGAGCUUUAUCCUGAAAGCUGUGGAAGACUGCUGAACCAUUUACAGGAGUGACACAUUCAGAUUUCCCUUCAGACCGAGAACUCCGAGCGCAGACUCGGGGGAUCAGAUCGGCAGCAGCGAGGCUGAUUCAGAAGCGGCGGCAGUGAUUCAGGCUAGAGAUGCAGCGGGUGAUGGACACGUGCAAAAGAGGUGGACUCUGAUCUUUCUGAGGUCCUGGACCUUAUUACCCCACCUGGGUGAGCCCGUGUGCCUCUAACUCAGGACCACUCGCGGUGCGUUCACCUCCCACACAGGCCACGUGGCGCCCC